rnacentral:rRNA from 1 species
UACGGGGGGGGCAAGCGUUGUUCGGAAUUACUGGGCGUAAAGGGCUCGUAGGUGGCCAACUAAGUCAGACGUGAAAUCCCUCGGCUUAACCGGGGAACUACGUCUGAUACUGGAUGGCUUGAGUUCGGGAGAGGGAUGCGGAAUUCCAGGUGUAGCGGUGAAAUGCGUAGAUAUCUGGAGGAACACCGGUGGCGAAGGCGGCAUCCUGGACCGACACUGACGCUGAGGAGCGAAAGCCAGGGAGCAAACGGG